UUUCAUUUAUUUUAUGUUUUUGGCAGUAAUCUUCAAACUAUUAGUGUUGCAAAGUUCGAUAACAAAAGUGUUGAGUAAUCGAUAACACACGGUACUUAACAGCGCUGCUUAACACUGAUGAAGCGAGGUGUUUUUCAGUGUUACAAAUGGUCGAAGUUGCACUUAUAACAGUACAAUCUGAAUGUUGUAUAUGUUCAGUUUAAAUACAACAUACAACAAUAAUAACAAACAACAACAACAACAACAAUUAUCGCAACAGCAACAACAACCACAACAAUCACCGCAAGAAAAAGGAGUUAUAUAUUGUUUUUUUUUUAUUUUUUAAAUUCAAAACCCCCGACAAACACAACAAUACUACGAGAAGCAGCUAACUAAGCCCGGCUCCAUUCAUAAAGCAAUGAAAACCAAACAGAGAGCGACCAGAAUCGGUUGUUAACCAAGUGCACUAGCCGGAUAUUGGAUAUACGUCGUCUAUAUAUAUAUAUUUCGGAUAUAAACACGGCUCGCCCAGUCGAAGGAAAAAUUUCUCUCCUUCGACAUCGCCAUCGCCAUCGCCCUCGCCAAUCGUCAAUCGCCUUCGAGGAUACCCAGCAAUUGGAGUCUCUGCAUCGCAAUAUAAUUAAGGAAACAGAAUGCCUCCAGUAGUAGCACUAUUGCCGGCCCUUGGAGCAGCAUCUGUUGUCUGUGGCUCCCGUGCCUUCUAUUGAGAGGAGCCCCGGAGCGCUGAGAAUCUGGAGCAGGGGUGUGAACAGAUAUUGCCGAGCAUGAAGCAACGGACCGCUACGCAGCACUAUCCCUCAAUCAGCAACCGAUUUGUAUCAAUCACAAGCCGUAUAAGCAGAGCAGCAUCUAAUAAAUUGUCUGGAUCAGGAGCAGGAGCAGGACCAGGAGAAGGAGCAGGAGCAGGAGCAGGAGCACCUGGUGGCAUAGACAAAUUCGUGGCCAGUCAGAGGAGGAGGAGGAGGUGGUCGUCGGCCACAUAAGACUAGAUCCUCUCCCCCACCCCCACCCUGAACAAGGAGCAGCGCCAGAGGAGGAGCAGGAGGGACACGAACUGCAUAAGGAGCAGGAGCUGCCGGAGGAGCGGAGCGGAGAGGAGACGGAGACGGAGACGGCCCGGGCGUGUGUGU
rnacentral:sRNA from 1 species